rnacentral:tRNA from 1 species
GGAAAGGUGGCAGAGUGGUUAAAUGCACCAAUUUUGAAAAUUGACGUGGCUUCGCGGUCACCGAGGGUUCGAAUCCCUCCCUUUCCG